ensembl:snoRNA
UCUCCCUGUCUAACACCGGGACCUCUUGAUUCAGUGCAGUGUUCUGGCACUAUAAGGGGACAGAGUACUACGCUCUCUUCCCUCCCUACUGGAUGCUGUUCCUCCUAGGGCCUUAAGAGAAGCACACAGU